rnacentral:misc_RNA from 1 species
AACUUUCGACAACGGAUCUCUUGGCUCUCGCAACGAUGAAGAACGCAGCGAAAUGCGAUACGUAAUGUGAAUUGCUUUCCGUGAAUCAUCGAAUCUUUGAACGCACAUUGCACUCUUUUAGAGUAUGCCUGUUUGAGAAUCUAUAGUAUUUAUUUUUGUGUAUACUUUUUAGGAAGUAUAGGCAAGAGAUAUGGGGUUUCCCUCGCAAGGGGGUACUCUGAAAUAGAUUGCCUCUGUUUUGAUAGACUCGACGAAGUUUUUCAAUCCUGCAGAAAAGUAUUUGAAUGGAACUGUGGUUUCUCGAUAUGCUGAAUAUGUGGGGGAAAGAUGGAGAAUCUAUUGGGCAGAUGUCCAUACCCUAUAAGGCGGUCUUAGGAUCGGCUUGAACCAUGGUCUCAAAUCAGGUAGGAAGACCCGCUGAACUUAAGCAUAUCAAUAAGCGGAGGCU